rnacentral:rRNA from 1 species
AGUCACGUAGUUUGAUCCUGGCUCAGACGAACGCUGGCGGCAUGCCUAACACAUGCAAGUCGAACGAGACCUUCGGGUCUAGUGGCGCACGGGUGCGUAACGCGUGGGAACCUGCCUUUAGGUUCGGAAUAACUCAGAGAAAUUUGAGCUAAUACCGGAUGAUGUCUUCGGACCAAAGAUUUAUCGCCUUUAGAUGGGCCCGCGUAAGAUUAGCUAGUUGGUGAGGUAAAGGCUCACCAAGGCGACGAUCCAUAGCUGGUCUGAGAGGAUGAUCAGCCACACUGGGACUGAGACACGGCCCAGACUCCUACGGGAGGCAGCAGUGGGGAAUAUUGGACAAUGGGCGAAAGCCUGAUCCAGCAAUGCCGCGUGAGUGAUGAAGGCCUUAGGGUUGUAAAGCUCUUUUACCCGGGAUGAUAAUGACAGUACCGGGAGAAUAAGCUCCGGCUAACUCCGUG